rnacentral:lncRNA from 1 species
AGCUAUCCUGGUUCCUUGAGUACUUAUGGACUUACUACCCUUGAUACAUAUGCUGCAUGCAUGCAAACAACCAAGUGUAGUUUAGGUGCCUUCAGCCUUCGAGGCUAAUCCACUGAAUUCAUCAAAAUGAUUUGGGGACAUCAUUCAGCCUUCAAGAAACUUUUUUAAGAUGCCAGGUUUGUUGAUUUCAAAUUAUUUGGUGUUUCUACCGUGUGCACAACAACAACUUUAAACUACACUCUGUUUCUUGUCUGUAAUCUUUCAGGAACUCAUCCUUUUUCUUAAACUUGCUCAUCUGCAGAAAAUAUUUUUAAAAGUCAGUUUUCCAUUUCUUAGUCUUUUAUUUGUAAUUACAAUGAUAUUCAGUGACCUAUUACGUAUGUCAGCUACUUUAAUUUCAAUGUAAGAAAAGGAGAAAAUGAAAUCAUUUCUUGUCUGUAAUUACAAUAAUAGCUCCAGGCUGACCAAAACCUUAUGAGUGAGUUUGGUAGACAGAAACUGAAAGAAGUCAGUCAUGUAUGUGUAUGUAUGUUUGUAUGUUAUAUAUAUAUAUAUAAGGUUAGCUGAGUUAGAGCUUAAAACAACCAUCUAAAGGAUAGAAGUACCCAUUACGCUACCGGUAUAUUACCUAUGUUUAACCAUGGGCAUGCAUAUGCAAGCAAACAAUACCCAUAAAUUAUAGGCAAAGACAAGGAUAAAUAUGAGUUUAUCAAGAACGUAUAUAUAUGUUAUUCUUAUCUAAAUAUCUGGAGGGUAUAUCAGCCGAAGUGUUGUAUUAGCAACAAACAAGAUGGGGACAAAUACCCAUCAAAUGUAAAUAAUGAUUGGAUUCUGCUAAAGGUACCUGGGUGAUGGAUUAAAUAUAUCAGUGAAAUAUAUACAUUCCAUGUGGCACAGUUUCUGUGAAACUAAGUUCAGUUACCAAAGCUUGGGCUGACAUAUGACAGGAAAGGACAGUUACCCAAGACAUAUGACAUGCAUAUGUCUUAGAAACUGAAUCCUCGUGGUUGCCAAGUAAACUUCUUAAUUACACAGCCAUACCUGCAAGUUGGAACUGUUGGCUGAAGCAAAUACAUUUCAUGUUUUUAGUAAGUUAAUGAAGGUUAGUUUGUUUUGAGGAGAAUGCAAAACGAAGUGGAAAAUAUAAGAAAAAAGAGUGUUUGGUAUGGAAUCGAUACAUAAAGCAAAAGAAUGGUGGGUGGAAGUAUGGUAAAUGCAUCAGACAGUUUGCAUAGAAUUAGUUGUUUAAAAAAUGAUGCCAUUAUAAGACAUUUUAAAAUGGUAAUGAGAAGAGACAGUUCAAUAGUGGAGAAGUGUUUUAGAUGUUGUUUGUGAAUAUAAGACUAAUUUCUAAGCACAGAUUUUGCUUCAACGUUGUAAAUAAGUGAAUCAUUUAAGAUAUUUGAGCAGACUUUCCAUUAUGGUGUAUAUUUUCUUAAUAAAUAAUGUUUUGAUGAAUUAGUCAGUCAGUCCAUUUCUAUACUUGUUUAUGCAUCAAGCAGAGAUUUUGCAUUCAGUGUUUUUUGUUGGUUGUGCUACAGGUUCGUCUAUGUUUUCUCAGAAUAUUUGGUGACUGCCUUCAAGUACUGCAACAGAAUAUAGCGUCAUAUGACCCACGAUUUUUCUAGUCAUCUCCUUACUUUUGUUGGUAUCCAUACUAAGGUUGUCUUUGCAUACUUGUAUUCUAGUGACAUGGCAUGACCUAUCAGUUACAUUCUUCCUUCUGUUACCAUAUCCUGGUCAGUUUUGGAGUCUUUAGAAGGUGGUGAGCUGACAGAAUCGUUAGCAUGCUGGGCACAAUGCUUAGCGGUAUUUCGUCUGUCUUUACAUUCUGAGUUCAGAUUCCACCUAGGUCAACUCAUCCUUUGAUGGUCGAUAAAUUCAGUACCAGUUGAUCUACUCAACUGGCACCCCCAUCUCCAAACAUUUUGGGCCUUAUGACUAGAUUAGAAAAGUUUUGGAGUCUUUAGGGUUCUCAAGGCUUCUGAGAGAAUUGGGAUACAAAAUUUUCAGAAUUUUCUUCAAGUUUAGAAGGCACUGUAUAACAUGAACUUUUGGCUGGUAAUUUGCUAAAGAUACAUUUUAAUGGAUAUCUAGGGGGAUUUUUAUCGCGAAAGUGUUUUAUCUGCCAGUAUCAUUCAUUCAUCAACAUUUCAACUUUGAAAUAAAAGACAAUUCCUUUCUUUAUUACAACUGCAAAAGACUGUAAAUUGUCUCGAAGUUUACUCCAUAAAUCUUUAGUUGAUAUACGAUAUAAUAUCGAAAAAAUAGCAUUUUAGUAUGACAUUUAUUGAUAUUUUAAUUAUAUUUUAUUGCCUUUAAAAGAUAAUACAAUUCUACUAGAAUUAGUCUCUUAAAGAAAAUACAAUUUUUGAUGGAAAAAUAGAAAAACUAAAAACAAACUGUUAAAUAUAUCCAAUGUUUUUUCCCCCUCUUCAUAAGUUCUGAAUACAAUACAAAAUAUAUCUAGAAGUUGGCUACAAAGUGAGUUUGUUAUGUUUUGGAAUAGUUUUUUUCUUAUUCCUUCUGUUCAAAACAUGCAAUUUAAUCUCAUAAUAUGGUUUUAUUUUGAAAUUAAAUUAUUUAUUCUUAGGCAAUCCAAGACAAACUGCCGUAAGUGUUUUGAUUGGAUGUUCUUAAAAAUUUUUGAUUUUUGAAUUCAGAAUUGUAACAAGAUCUUGAGGGAAAGUUCAAUGGAAUUGUACUAAUAAUAACACAAUUGGUAAAAAUAGAACAUAGAUUGUCUUUGAUUCGUUUAUGUUCAAUAAAAUAAUUAUUAUUACCAUAUCUGUUUUUAUUUUUACAAUGUUAAUCUUUUUUCUUUUUAAUUUUAAUUUUCCAUAAUUUUAAGACAGCUUAAAAACUUCAAAUUUAAACCAAAUAUAAAUUUGAAAAGUCUUAUCU